UACGUAGGUGACAAGCGUUGUCCGGAUUUACUGGGCGUAAAGAGCGCGCAGGCGGUCGAUCAAGUCGAGUGUGAAAGCCCCCGGCUCAACUGGGGAGGGUCAUUCGAUACUGAUCGACUCGAAGGCAGGAGAGGGUAGUGGAAUUCCCGGUGUAGUGGUGAAAUGCGUAGAUAUCGGGAGGAACACCAGUGGCGAAGGCGGCCCUCUGGACGGUGACUGACGCUGAGACGCGAAAGCGUGGGGAGCAAACAGG
rnacentral:rRNA from 1 species